GCAUGAGAAUAGCCUUUCUAAAUGCUUUAUUGAGCAAUUCUAUUUUACCAAGACUAUCGCAACCAUGCAAAAAAGCAACGGUAAAUCCGUUGCCUUUUUUGAAG
rfam:Streptococcus sp. M143 cont1.14, whole genome shotgun sequence.